UCAUGCUAAACAUUUCGCUUUUCUUGACGCUCGGUAAAUGUUUGAUUUGUCUCGUCCUUUUACGCAUUGUUCCGUCUCUCAGAUUUAGCAGUUUGGUCGUUUUCCUGUCAAUGUCUAGCUCGGUCGCUUUGUCGUUUAUUUGUCACGUAAUGAUUUUCCCUUUGUCGGCAAAAAUUAUUUUUGUUUUCAAUGAAACACUGGCAUAUUUGCGGCUCAAACAUAUUCAAGUAUACUAACAAAGAAAACCGACGUCGAAUAUUUUCUCCAGAUUAGCCAAAUAGAACUUUUAUUUUGCUGUCAGUAACUGUACCUCGUGCCUGUAAUUCGCAAAAGAUUAAUCUUCAAUUUUAACUCGACACCAUUAAAAAGUGAAGUACAAACUGAAAAAUAUUCGCGAAUCUUCAUUUAACUCGCAAAAUAUUUCUUUGUCGAAUCUUUCCUCUUUUCUUUUUCCUUUCCAAAUGCGUAAUAUAACGAGUUAGAAUUGUGUGACGGUGGCUUUGUUAAACAAACAGAUUUAUUAAGCAUAGUGGUAGUUUGGGAUACACUGCGUCGCUGAUACUAUUUCAUUAUUCUUUUCAUAAACUCUUUUAUGUGUGGUUACCACGAUGAGGUGAAAGCAAAAUGGCUUUUAAUGAACCUUUAGCCCCAGGUGAAUAAGCCAUUAAAAGAGUCCUAAAUGCAAAAUGUGUACUAGCGAAAAGGAAAAAAAAAAUAAGCAGCAUUUGGCUUGUGAAAUUUCGUCCCAAAAUUAUUUGAAGAAGAUGCAACGUGUCUGUUUGUUUACUUAAAUCAGAACCUUUUAUGACGCUCGUGAGUGACAGGCCACAAACGCGUGAGAGAAAUGUCGAAAUAAACCUCCAAAACUUUCAUUAUCACAGAUUUUAUCAGCACUGUAACAGUUCCUGAACCGUUGCCCUUGGAAACAGAUUUUCUCCAAUCUUCAAGUUCACUUCUUUUAAAACUUAUUUUGUAGUAUGAAGAGAGUUUUCCUCAAUUAUACGUGUGAAUGCUGAAACGCUUAAUAUUUUUUUUGUUACCCCUGCAUUUUUCCUUCAAGUAUAAAUUUUCGCUUGUUUUUAAUUUUGCUAGGCAGUAAGUGAUUAUUUGUAGGACGUUGUGAGAGCUAUCUAUUUUGUUAUUAUCAGGCUCGUGACCGACCUAAUCAGGUAGAUUGUAAAUUUCAACUAUUUGCCUGUAAGCCUGGGAAGACUUUAGUUUGGUCCGAGUUCGCGGUGUAAAGGUGUUGUCGUGUUAUCUUUAUUCGCCGCGUGGCGAGACAAAAACGUGCGCUCGGUAUAAUCUUCUUUGACACCUGCUGAAGACAGCUUGAGAGAGUAACAUUGCCUUUAAAAAACACUUCAUUUGCGAGGCAAAGGUUUGCACGGAAUGAAUUUCUUAAAAAGAAAUGGUUUCAGUUGCCAAUAAUUCAUGGAUUCAGCGCAAUGAUCAAUCAUAACUUUCUUCUUUAAAAAAAUCCCAUAUGAACAAUUUCAUAAGUUCUUUUGUAACAGUGUAAAUGACUAAAAUUUCUGGGGCAAUAGUCUAAUUUCAGCAGCUUUGUUUCCCACACCGUUUUACAUGUUUUACCGCGUUUCAUUAUUAGGGCCUUAGCCAAGUCAUUGUAAUUCCGCCUUGUUCGUUGCAAACAAAAGCUUGUUUACUCAGCCUUUCACUUGAAAAGACGCACAACUAAUACUUUGGCGAUCGCCUGUGGUAACCACCAUUCCUGACUGAGUAACAUGAGAAUUUUGUUCAGUAGAACAGCUUGUACUUUAGCACGCAAUGCAGCCUCUAUCCUGUGAAGUUCGCAGAAACAACGCCUCCAGAGAAGAAUGCCUUAACACUUGAAAUACUUGACCUGAGUGGUUAUACAGUGUCGCUAUAAGUCGUGAGAAAAUUUCAGUCACAAUGAAGAACUUGGCAAAGAGGCAAAAACAGAAGUACGCUCAAGUUAUCUGCGACUGUUGAGAGUACCAAAGGAAUUGUCAAACCAUAGAUCGACAGCAAAGAUAGAGGAAUAUAUUGAAACUGCAAAGUUCAGUCGUCAAUGCAGGUUGAGAAUACUAAACACGAACGAGUUAAA
rnacentral:lncRNA from 1 species